AUUGAACGCUGGCGGCAUGCCUUACACAUGCAAGUCGAACGGCAGCACGGGUGCUUGCACCUGGUGGCGAGUGGCGAACGGGUGAGUAAUGUAUCGGAACGUACCUUUCAGUGGGGGAUAACUAUCCGAAAGGAUAGCUAAUACCGCAUAUUCUGUGAGCAGGAAAGCAGGGGAUCGCAAGACCUUGCGCUGAUUGAGCGGCAGAUAUCAGAUUAGCUAGUUGGUGGGGUAAAGGCCUACCAAGGCUACGAUCUGUAGCGGGUCUGAGAGGAUGAUCCGCCACACUGGAACUGAGACACGGUCCAGACUCCUACGGGAGGCAGCAGUGGGGAAUUUUGGACAAUGGGGGCAACCCUGAUCCAGCCAUGCCGCGUGAGUGAAGAAGGCCUUCGGGUUGUAAAGCUCUUUCGGACGGGAAGAAAUCGCAUCGGCUAAUACCUGGUGCGGAUGACGGUACCGUAAUAAGAAGCACCGGCUAACUACGUGCCAGCCGCCGCCGUAAGAC
rnacentral:rRNA from 1 species